rnacentral:lncRNA from 1 species
AAUUGUCGCUACAAACUUUAAUUUUAGUUGCUAUAAGAUGUCUAACUAUUAGUAACCACUUAUAGCUACCAAAUGUUCGGUGGUCGCAACAAGAUUUAACACUUCCCACUUUUGCUACAAAAUUACGUUUGGUCACUAAAUGUGAACAUUCAGUGACCAUUUAGUUAUGGUCGCUGAGAAUUUGGUCACUGAAACUAGUUUUUCUUGUAGUGG